rnacentral:lncRNA from 1 species
GUGGAGGACGAAGACACAAUGCAUGUUAUAGACGAAGAUGAUAAUUUUGAUGCCCAUGUUGAAUAUGAUGCAGAUGUUUUAAGCGAUGAAAAAAAUGAAAAAGAAGAACUAGGCUUGGAUAGCUUUACGCAAUUGCAAAAUCUGCGCAUAUCACAAAGACAAGAAUUUU